rnacentral:rRNA from 1 species
GAUGAACGCUGGCGGCGUGCCUAACACAUGCAAGUCGAGCGAUUCUCUUCGGAGAAGAGCGGCGGACGGGUGAGUAACGCGUGGGUAACCUGCCCUGUACACACGGAUAACAUACCGAAAGGUAUGCUAAUACGAGAUAAUAUGCUUUUAUCGCAUGGUAGAAGUAUCAAAGCUUUUGCGGUACAGGAUGGACCCGCGUCUGAUUAGCUAGUUGGUAAGGUAACGGCUUACCAAGGCGACGAUCAGUAGCCGACCUGAGAGGGUGAUCGGCCACAUUGGAACUGAGACACGGUCCAAACUCCUACGGGAGGCAGCAGUGGGGAAUAUUGCACAAUGGGCGAAAGCCUGAUGCAGCAACGCCGCGUGAGCGAUGAAGGCCUCGGUCGU